CCUACGGGUGGCAGCAGUGAGGAAUAUUGCUCAAUGGACGCAAGUCUGAACCAGCCAUGCCGCGUGCAGGAAGAAGGCUCUAUGAGUUGUAAACUGCUUUUGUACGGGGGUAAACGCAGAUACGUGUAUCUGUCUGAAAGUAUCGUACGAAUACAGAUCGGCGAACUCCGGGCCAGCAGCCGCGGUAAUACGGAGGAUUCAAGCGUUAUCCGGAUUUAUUGGGUUUAAAGGGGGCGUAGGCGGUCGGAUAAGUUAGAGGUGAAAGCCCGAGGCUCAACUUCGGAAUUGCCUCUGAUACUGUGCGGCUAGAGAGUAGUAGCGGUAGGCGGAACGUAUGGUGUAGCGGUGAAAUGCUUAGAGAUCAUACAGAACACCGAUUGCGAAGGCAGCUUACCAAGCUACUACUGACGUUGAGGCACGAAAGCGUGGGGAGCAAACAGGAUUAGAUACCCCGGUAGUC
rnacentral:rRNA from 1 species